rnacentral:rRNA from 1 species
GACGAACGCUGGCGGCGUGCUUAACACAUGCAAGUCGAACGCUGAAGCUCAGCUUGCUGGGUGGAUGAGUGGCGAACGGGUGAGUAACACGUGAGUAACCUGCCCCCUUCUUUGGGAUAACGCCCGGAAACGGGUGCUAAUACUGGAUAUUCACUGAUCUUCGCAUGGGGGUUGGUGGAAAGGUUUUUUCUGGUGGGGGAUGGGCUCGCGGCCUAUCAGCUUGUUGGUGGGGUGAUGGCCUACCAAGGCUUUGACGGGUAGCCGGCCUGAGAAGGUGACCGGUCACAUUGGGACUGAGAUACGGCCCAGACUCCUACGGGAGGCAGCAGUGGGGAAUAUUGCACAAUGGGCGAAAGCCUGAUGCAGCGACGCCGCGUGAGGGAUGGAGGCCUUCGGGUUGUAAACCUCUUUCGCUCAUGGUCAAGCCGCAACAUUGGUUGUGGUGAGGGUAGUGGGUAAAGAAGCGCCGGCUAACUACGUG